rnacentral:tRNA from 1 species
CCGGCACGGUGGCGUAGGCAUCGCGCGGCUGAUCAUCGGUCAGCAGCUUCACCGCCUUGCUGAGGAACGCAAGUUCGGCUUCCACCGCAUCGGU